AUUGAACGCUGGCGGCAUGCCUUACACAUGCAAGUCGAACGGUAACAGGUCUUCGGAUGCUGACGAGUGGCGAACGGGUGAGUAAUACAUCGGAACGUGCCCAGACGUGGGGGAUAACGAGGCGAAAGCUUUGCUAAUACCGCAUACGAUCUAAGGAUGAAAGCAGGGGACCGCAAGGCCUUGCGCGUUUGGAGCGGCCGAUGGCAGAUUAGGUAGUUGGUGGGAUAAAAGCUUACCAAGCCGACGAUCUGUAGCUGGUCUGAGAGGACGACCAGCCACACUGGGACUGAGACACGGCCCAGACUCCUACGGGAGGCAGCAGUGGGGAAUUUUGGACAAUGGGCGAAAGCCUGGUCCAGCAAUGCCGCGUGCAGGAUGAAGGCCUUCGGGUUGUAAACUGCUUUUGUACGGAACGAAAAGGCUCUGGCUAAUACCUGGGGCACAUGACGGUACCGUAAGAAUAAGCACCGGCUAACUACGUG
rnacentral:rRNA from 1 species